CAUUAGCUCCAUUUAAAUGCUUCGUUUCUUGUCAAUUUUUUUUGAGUUUCAGUCAUUGGGUUGUUUGUAGCCCUUUUUUUCCCUGCAGUUUUCAGCGUUACUGCUUUGUAAAUACAUAUAUGCAGCUUCCAACAAUUUCAAUCCUGUGAUGGAAUUUGAUGUGCCAAAGACAGCAGUAGGUGAAGGAGGUUUCCCCAAAUGUGGCACUCUUUUCUUCAAGAGGCGCUCUCCGGCCCCCUCCGUCAUAAAGGUAUACGAUUCAAAUUCGUCCUUGUAGCGACACGUAACAGAAAACGAACCGAAUUUGCUAAGAUUACGAACUUGGCAAAUUUGUUCUUGAAAUAUGAUUCGCAAAACAUCAUCCAAUUCCUCUCAUUUUUAUGGAUGGGAAAUUGAAGUUCGGGACAUUUUUGUUAGUUUUCUGAUAGUCCAUGCAUUUAAUUUUGUAAUAAUGCAUAGUUUGGGACAUUUUCUUUAAAAUGUCAAUAGUUCAAGCAUUUAAAUAUAAUCAUGUAUAGUUUGAAUCGUUUUCAUUAAAAAGGUCAAUAUAUAGUUCGGGUAUUAAAUUACAA